GACGAACGCUGGCGGCGUGCUUAACACAUGUAAGUCGAACGGAAAGGCCCUGCUUUUGUGGGGUGCUCGAGUGGCGAACGGGUGAGUAACACGUGGGUAACCUGCCCUUGACUUUGGGAUAACUUCAGGAAACUGGGGCUAAUACCGGAUAGGAGCUCCUGCUGCAUGGUGGGGGUUGGAAAGUUUCGGCGGUUGGGGAUGGACUCGCGGCUUAUCAGCUUGUUGGUGGGGUAGUGGCUUACCAAGGCUUUGACGGGUAGCCGGCCUGAGAGGGUGACCGGCCACAUUGGGACUGGGGUACGGACCGGACGCCUACGGGAGGCAGCAGGGGGGAAUGUUGCACAAUGGGCUGAAGCCUGAUGCCGCAACGCCGCGUGCGGGAGGCCGGCCUUCGGGUUGUAAACCGCUUUCGCCGGUGACGAAGCGUGAGUGACGGUAAUGGGUAAAGAAGCACCGGCUAACUACGUG
rnacentral:rRNA from 1 species